GGUUUCACUGUGUUAGCCAGGAUGGUCUCAAUCUCCUGACCUCGUGAUCCGCCCACCUCCGCCUCCCAAAGUGCCCAGCAGAAGCCUCUUAGCAGCCUUUACCUGAUCUGACUGGAUGCUAGUGGCAGGAUGUUAUGGGGUUCUUGGGAGUUGAACGUACUGCUCCGGGGGGCGAGCUGAUUCUCUGUACCAGUCACCAAUCCAAAAAGAACCUGGCAGACAAGAAAUGGAGCUCAAUAAAAUGCAGAGGUUUCAUUGUGCAGGUAAAAGGCAGGCAAAAAAAAAAAAAGUCACCGAUCACUAUCGUAUUUCUAAGCAUCAUUUUGGGGAAUGUUCUGAGUGCGUUAAUGCUUCAUGAUUACUUUUUAUCACUGCCCACAGGUCAGAAUCUGAGAGGCAGGGCGUUUUUUAUUCCUGUUUCUGAGGCCUGGAUAAAACUGUAAUAAUCCUUAUUUAUAACUAAAGGGGCCAAAUCUUGGUUGCCUCAGUGUGUGAGAUUUUAUCUAAUCCUCUUUCAGCUCUCAUAACUACACUCGGCUAUUUGUGUCUUAUCCCCCUCCCUACGCUGCAUCCUGGAGUAUUAUGUGCUGGAGCAGGUUAAUUUUGUAAUUUCAGCCUGUGGCACUUGGUUCGCACUGAGCAUGUUUUUGAUUUGACUCACAGAAGUUCGCUGCACCAGGCGAUGAAGGUUGCUGUUAAGGUGUGGUGUGAAAACGUCCAGGUCAAAUGGAUCAAUGAGGGCUUCCAGGUGGUCAGUCACUUUCUCAAUUCUGAGAAAAGGAUUAGGAUCAUUACUGUCCACAUUUUUUAGGAUCAAAAACCAUCAUAAUAUCCUACUGCUGUAGAAAUCUUGGAGUUGGAUUUUAUUCUACGUGGUUGUUGGCUUAGUACAUUUGUCACUGAUGAUAGUGCUUAAGUCACCCUCAAGAGUUUCAACCUGACAUCAUGUCUAAGUGAAGCCCACCCCUUCCCCCUCUUCUGUCUAUAAGAAGAGCACUAAGUGCUCGAAUGAUACUCAGCAGCUGCUAGGCUGACUCAGAAGAGAGGCGAAGGACAGUCCACCUAUUUCACUUGACCAUGGCAUUUAUCCAGCAGGCGGCCAUUAUUUAACUUGCUGGUAAUAUGAGCACUGACUGUUCAAAACAAACACAAUGAAUGUGCUGUAUAACAGGCUGACUCUGGUGGCUUCCCAGCAAAGGGACUAUCUGCUUUUGGAAGAGACUGCCUUGACAUAGCUCAGUAGAGGAUACGACACCUGGAGUCUGGCUUGCUCCGGCCACUCUUCACCUCGUCAGCCUUGGCUGUCAGAACAAUGUUGAGGUAACGCAGAUCAUAAAGCAGCUGCAGCGCCCGGUUCUGGGUGACUGGAAAUGCACCUUCUUUCUGCAAAUGAAUUCCCGGUCCCCACCCAUGAAGAGAGAGGACUUGAGACAGGGUCUUGCUUCAUCACCCAGGCUGGAGUGCAGUGGUGCGAUCAUAGCUCACUGCAGCCUCGAACUCCCAAGCUAAAGCCAUCCUCCCACCUCGGCCUCCCAAAGUUCUGGGUCUUGGUCUUUCCAUCUGUGCUGAGCUGCCUUCUUAGCGAAGAUCUGCUCGACUCUUCAGAAUGGGUCCCAUGGUGCCUGCUGGGAUGGGACCUGCUCACCUGUGCAGGGAGUCGGAUCUUGGAUGUGACGCUGCUGCCAGACUCUGCCUCCUCCUGAAUUUCUAGCUCAUCCCAGCUGGUGGCUGUGGCCAGGACUGAGCCAGCAUCAUCUAGAAGUAAUGACUGGGUGAAUCCAUGAAUCAAAACCUGGUAAUAAAAGGCAAAUAUCCAUACAAGCCACUCA